rnacentral:rRNA from 1 species
AGAGGGCGCAUGAGAGAUGGCCGUUCUUAGUUGGUGGAGUGAUUUGUCUGGUUAAUUCCGUUAACGAACGAGACCCCUGCCUGCUAAAUAGUUGAGCGAAUGAAUGUUCAUUGGCUACAGCUUCUUAGAGGGACGUGCGUUCUAUUAGACGCAGGAAGAUAGGGGCAAUAACAGGUCUGUGAUGCCCUUAGAUGUCCUGGGCCGCACGCGCGUUACACUGAUGCACUCAACGAGUCUACCUUGGCCGAGAGGCCUGGGAAAUCUUGUUAACAUGCAUCGUGAUAGGGAUAGAUUAUUGCAAUUAUUAAUCUUGAACGAGGAAUUCCUAGUAAACGCAGAUCAUCAAUCUGCAUUGAUUACGUCCCUGCCCUUUGUACACACCGCCCGUCGCACCUACCGAUUGAAUGGUCCGGUGAAGCCUCGGGAUUGCGAUGAGUUUCCUUUAUUGGGAGUUCGUCGCGAGAACCUGUCUAAACCUUAUCAUUUAGAGGAAGGUGAAGUCGUAACAAGGUAACC